ACUUGUAGCCAGAUUUGUCCAAGCCAAAUUAAAUAAUAUUGACCAUAUCUGACACUGGACUAAUUUCUGACAAAUGCUGAUUUCUUGGGAAUAGACACUUUUUUAAAACAAUGAUGCCAAGGAAACAACUUUUAUGUGUCUACCUAGCGUUCAUGAGAAACGGCUGUCGAUUGUAUGUCUGUGUUCUCCGCAUCUGUCAAGACCCCACUAAGAUCCCCUUCAUCUGAUCUGUAGUCAUACAAUAGCACAUGAGUAGGCUUACUGACACUGCCUUUUUCUUUUCACCUUUAUCUACCCGAUCUAGCCCAGUUCAUCAUCAGUGUCAAGUUGGCUUGCAUUAAAUGAUUGUAAACGCCGUCCGGCCGGGGCACACGCUCCCUUCUGUGCUGAGCCGGGCGGCUCUCUUGGGCCAGAGGAUGCUUACCCCCCCGAGAGAGAGCACGGGCAGAGGAGUCUUGGCCGGCCGUGCCCACCGUGGUCCUGUCUUACCCACGUUGGCUCUCUUCUCUCCCCUCUGCAGACAGGAAGGGGCCAGUCUGCCCGGUGAUGGGCUGGCGUUCAGACACUCCCCUCCCAGCAGCAGCAGGGAGGAUGCCCUCGGGGAAACUGAGGCAGCAGGUCCCACCUCUCCCCCCACCACCCCUGGGGCCCAAGGUGCACCUGCUGGGAGCUGAUGGGGCAGGAGCACCCAUCACCUCACCCACGCCCGACGGCCACCCUGACGGGACCGCCCCCAGGAGCGUCCAGUUGUGGGAAGCACUGGCAGGAGACAGGAGCGAGAAGGACCCUGAGGCCUGGUUACUUGUUCCUGAGAUCAGCCCUGCUGGGUCACGGAGAUCAGCUGUUCCAUCCCGAGCAGGGAAAAUCCGAGGCCUUCUGCCACACUCACUCGACGGUCCCAUUCAGACGGGGUCUUCUCCUGCGUACCUUCCCCCACGAUGACAUUCGGGGAGAGAAGACUGCUUCCACUUUGCUGGGUGGAACUUGGUGCCAGAACCGAUGUGGCUUCAGCCGUGACAUCACCGUCGGGAAAAUCCUCAGCGUGGCCGGCCGUGGUAGUGACAGCGCCGUGAGCAGGGCGACGGGUAUCCAAGUAAGAAGCAGACGGGGAAGGAGAGGCUGGUCCGGGCACGCACCUGAGCGCACAGGUGCGAAGGACAGACUAGCGCAGUGUUCCAGGUGGCACACAGGCAUUCUGUCUUAUGUGGGACCAUUUGUAAUUUUAACCUCCCCCUGGCCUUCCACCCCCCCCCCCCGCCCUUCCAUCCCCUUUGUGGCCUCUACAACCGUAGUUGAAAAUCCAACCCCAGGAGCCACGUCUGUGGACGCCUCUCUCCAGCCCUCCGUGCCUCCCAGCUCCCUUCCUUCCCAGCUCCGUGUUUUCUCCAGCAUCCACCUAGGCCUUUCUCCCAAACACAGCAGGAGACUUGGAGGGGGUCCUACCCGCUUAUUUCGCUCACAGAACUUCCUGCAAAUUUGUCUCCCUGGAUGGAAAACAAGCUCCCACCAGGAGCCUCGUCACAUUGGGACAGUGGCUUUUCUUUUUUUUUUUUCUUUUUUUUAA
ensembl:lncRNA